rnacentral:misc_RNA from 1 species
GAAUUCCACACAGCCCUAAGGGAAGCUGUCUUCAGUUUGGAUAACAAAUCCCUCUCCUCAAUUAGCAGACAUGUUAGUUGUGAUAAAUUGUAUAUGCAAGUUGUUUCCUGAAUGAAAUUCACUUUUUGGCAAUAAGAUCAAAAUUAAAUGUUGUCAUCAUCUCAUCAAAAUGUUGCAAAUUACGAUGAUAGUGAAUCAGAUGGACACCUGUCAUUUUGAACGUCUGUUUCUACAAAAGUAUCACUUCAAAGGGAUAGCUGCGUUCAACUACAAUUUAAGUAAUGAUAAGCCACCG